rnacentral:rRNA from 2 species
UGCAAGUCGAACGAGUUCUCGUUGAUGAUCGGUGCUUGCACCGAGAUUCAACAUGGAACGAGUGGCGGACGGGUGAGUAACACGUGGGUAACCUGCCCUUAAGUGGGGGAUAACAUUUGGAAACAGAUGCUAAUACCGCAUAGAUCCAAGAACCGCAUGGUUCUUGGCUGAAAGAUGGCGUAAGCUAUCGCUUUUGGAUGGACCCGCGGCGUAUUAGCUAGUUGGUGAGGUAAUGGCUCACCAAGGCGAUGAUACGUAGCCGAACUGAGAGGUUGAUCGGCCACAUUGGGACUGAGACACGGCCCAAACUCCUACGGGAGGCAGCAGUAGGGAAUCUUCCACAAUGGACGCAAGUCUGAUGGAGCAACGCCGCGUGAGUGAAGAAGGCUUUCGGGUCGUAAAACUCUGUUGUUGGAGAAGAAUGGUCGGCAGAGUAACUGUUGUCGGCGUGACGGUAUCCAACCAGAAAGCCACGGCUAACUACGUGCCAGCAGCCGCGGUAAUACGUAGGUGGCAAGCGUUAUCCGGAUUUAUUGGGCGUAAAGCGAGCGCAGGCGGUUUUUUAAGUCUGAUGUGAAAGCCCUCGGCUUAACCGAGGAAGCGCAUCGGAAACUGGGAAACUUGAGUGCAGAAGAGGACAGUGGAACUCCAUGUGUAGCGGUGAAAUGCGUAGAUAUAUGGAAGAACACCAGUGGCGAAGGCGGCUGUCUGGUCUGUAACUGACGCUGAGGCUCGAAAGCAUGGGUAGCGAACAGGAUUAGAUACCCUGGUAGUCCAUGCCGUAAACGAUGAAUGCUAGGUGUUGGAG